AGAAGUAAGAUAAUUCACGCCGGAUUGAGAAAAAAAGAAUUUAUUUUAAUUCCAACAAAGACGAUUUACAAAAAUAUAUAUAUGUAAAUUUAGUUAUUAAAUUUAUAUGCAUUAUAUAUUUAUUUAAUUGAGCAUCGAUCAUUUACACGAACUAUUUUAUUUAGCGAACACUGAAGAAUUAUUACAGUUCGAUAAACCAACACAGAUAUUUUAUUAGUCAAAUCACCUACACCCUAUAUCAUCCAUUAGCCACCUACCCACCUACCCACCUACCAUACAUGCAUUACACCUCAUUCAUCACUGACUAAUUUCAAUCAUGCUUUCCAGCUAGCAACUCCCUUCACCAUUCUACACUGCAACCUCCACAAUUAUAGUCUCCAAUCUGCACUCUUCUAUCUAUUAGAAACAUGCUCCACUCAUUUUGAAAAUUUUCAUCGGCUGCCCAAGCUCAUUUCACCAAAAAUCAAGUAUUGAGCAAACAAGCAAAAAAUCAGAAUACCAACUGAAAUCCUCGCCAAGGCUUUGUGGACCAAGGGGAUUAGCGCUGCUUUCCCAAGACAGGUUUAUAUAUGAUUAUGAUCUUCAGGCUUUGCCUAACCAGGUUGAGCAGUUGAUGGAAUGGAAUGAUGUUGAGCGGGUGUUCCUUUGACAUUUCAAGAAAUGUAACCUUGAGUAUACAUCUUCAUAUGUAUAUCUCACACGUUUUCCGCUGCAAAACACUUUGAUUAGGAUAACUCUAUAUUAUGAAGUUGUUACACGUGUUAUUGGGUAAACCACCUUAAUCAGUUCUCUUUUAUGUGUAUGUUUUAUAAGUAUCCAAAUGAUCAUAUAUGAUCCUAGCUUUUUAUCUAUAAGUGAUAUUUUCAUAUACUUUAAUGUUAAGUAAUUGUCCA